CGUUGGCUGGCAGAGUUAUGGUCAUUGACCAGUUUGCAGUGGUCCAUGCAUUGGACUUCUGUUGCAAGACUCAGAUUCUUUCCUUGUAUAUAUAUUUUAAAUCUUAGGGAGGGAUUAGCCUGGAGAAUCCACUAUUUUCUUUUUUCGGCUUGUUUAGUUUACUGAAAUGAUCCUCUACAUUUUUUACAGCAGGUGAAGGAUUGGGUGUUAUUGAGAAAAAAAAAAAGGUGAUUCUGCAAUGUACUGGAACUAGAUUUAUUUGGUUCCCAAUUUGCAGCAAAUGGCAUCGGCUAGUGUGGUGCCUGCGACUGGAUUGAGAAACACAAGUGGAAAUGCUAUCAGCAUGGAUAGGUUGCUUGAAGAAAUGAAUGAUAUGAAGAUCAGGGAUGACAAGGAAAUGGAAACUGCUAUGGUCAAUGGAAAUGGCACAGAGAUGGGUCAUAUAAUCGUGACAACUAUUGGGGGUAGAAAUGGCCAACCAAAGCAGAAAUAGCAGAUGAUGAGAGUAUUAGCGUGUUUGAAGUACCUAGCAGGUGCAUGAAGGCAAUAUGACGUUAGAAGAUUUCCUCACCCCAAUUGAGAUGAAAGAUGGCCUCACAAACCUUGCUAGAGUCAAAGAGCUGGUUGCUGUUAUGUAGAGGCAGAGAGAAAAUAUUACGAAGAAUGUAGGUAAUGCAUCCAGACAAUGGUCAAUUGUAGCAAGUACCUUAUCAACAACAGAGAAGAAUGGUUGCCUUAAUCAUUUUCUUCAGUUAGACGGGCAUAGGUUUCUCAACCAAUGGCUCCAAGUGCAGUGGUGGCACAAGUGAUAGUUCUGUGGAAGAAUCAAUCAGUGCAGCGCUAGGAGCACUUGAGAAGCUGCCUCUAGAUGAGAACUUAACUGCUUGAGGAAUUGUGGAAACUGUCAAACAUCUCCUUGGCAACAGGAGCUUGAAAGUCCAGGAGAGGGCAAGAACUUUUUUGAUAGAUGGAUUUGUUUUUAUUUAUUUAUAUUGAAGACCAUU